UAGGGGCCUGCGGUGGCGGCUGCCGGGAGGGUCGGGGCUACGCGGAGAGCGGCGGCAGGGGGUCCGCGCGGAGUCUAGCGGGGGGCGGCGGCGGAAGGUUGGGGUGGUGCGUGGGUGGCGGACUGGAGGUGGUAGGUAGCGUCGGCCGCUGGCGUAGGGGACCGAGUCGACGUGAACUGGCCCUAGGGGGUAGAGGGUCGUUUGGAGCGGCCACGUGCGGUGGGGGGAGGAGGAUCCCACGAGGAGCAGGCCAGGUGAGGUGACCACAGGUGCGGGGCUGCGCGGCUGCUCUCGAUGUUGAGGUACGUUGAGAAUAAAAGAAACACAAGAUAACGUCCAAUCCGGGCCACACUUGAAGCUUGCCUAGUCACCAACAUGGCCGACAUGGUUCCGCCGACUGAGGUGGUGCGUGCGCAAACACAACAAACUACAAGCUCACAAGUCAACAACUUCACUUGAACUGCUAAACAAGACUUAAAAACCGUGAAGUUUGUGACUACGCUUACAGACUUUGAAAGAGACACGUGACGUCCCGCUGCUCACUACGCCGCGUGGUUGGUCGUCGUCCGCCUAGGCCGGUGGCACCUAUGGCGUGCGUGCGUAGGUAAGCGUCGAGUACCCGCGGUACCUAGGGCGCGCGUUCGUAGGAGGGUGCAGUAAGGAGACGACUGAAUGGUGGUGCGCGGCGGCGGCUUUGUAGGGUUAGGGUGGGCGGAGGGGGCACAGUGGCCGCUGGGAAGCGCGAUGGCGGACCGCGCCGGCUGGAGGUGCCGUCGUCUGCGACACCGAGGGAAGGACCGUCGUGGGCACGCAGAGAGGCCUGUCAGGAGACGUGUAGAUACCGGCAACCAGUUACCACAACAUCGAUGAUCCUUUCUCUCUUUGCGGUACCUCCACAGAUCACAACACGUUAUAUUAGUUUUAUACCACUCCGUGUUAUCGUACUCACGGUUCCUUAACUUCCGCGGUUGCGUGCGUUGACAUGUUCGAAGUAGAUAUGAGAUAUAACCGAAGAAACCAUAAGCUUAAGGGAGACGACUUCGUGACUUUCUCCUGUAGUUCGGUUUGAAGUAUUGUGGUGGUUUGGACAGACCAUUCUCAGCACAAUCUAGGAUAUGCACUAGAUAAAAACAACCCAGUUUAGGAUGCACUAGUUGCAACGGUCUAAUAAAAUAAUCUUUUUACAGAAUUAAUUAUACCAACUCUCUCUCUCCCUCUCAGGAUUAUUAUAUACCGAUCAUCAUCAACCCAUCUCAAACAAUCAUAGUGCAGUCCACGUUCAAAAUCAGCCAAGUGUUAGAGGAAAUGCAUAGCCGGCGAGGCCGGUACAUUCUGUCCAAACAAAAAUAGCUCUCAAUUAUCUAUGUAUCUUUUGCAAGGUACAACCCCCUGUAGUUUAUAACAGAAGUAACAACUAGGCGUUCCUAAAACGACGACGACGCGCACCUCGGCUAGAUUAGAUGAGUUGCGAUCAAAAACCAGAAUGCCAGAACGUAGAAACGAGCUGGCCUUAAAGAAUAACGACGACGUUUAUCAUAGCACUUUCUAAACCCGGUUGUUUGCUGAGCGGCAGAACAGCCCAGCGUAGUGGGCUGGAAGUACCCCACUGUCGGGGCCGGAAGCAGUACACGUAGGCUCGUGUCAGUUUUGACGUCCCCCGUCGCCAUCUCCACGUCAGCAGGAUCGUAUCCCUGUUGGCGCGGAGCGGGCAAAGUACCCACACCGGGAUCGUCUCCACGUCGAGGGGAAGCGGACCUAGGUAGAGGCAUGGUGACAGUCCUGUGUCCUCAAGUCUACAAGUUGAUCUUACGAUCUCUCCCUAAAGACGCUCUCAAAUCGACGAUAACAGGAACCAAAAACACAAACUUAAACGACUACAGGCACCAAUUUUCUAUUACUACAACCAAAGAUG
rnacentral:rRNA from 1 species